UGGUCUUCUGUAAAGCCUUUCUGCCUAUCUGUUAUUUUUCUAAUCUCUCAAACUAAACAGAUCGAAAGCACGAAAAGAAAUGUCUUAGCAUGCCCUUUGUUGCGGACCGCCCAAGUUGAUAGCCCAAUCAUCCACAAUCUUGGGCUAGGAAGCCAAUAUAAUGCCAAGAGUCCUAGCUUGGCCCAAUUCCAGAAUAUUCCAGACUACUCUAGCACAAUUGAGCAACUCUAGAUUCCGGAACAUUCUAGACAACUCUAGCACAUUGGAGCUUGUAAAUAUUCUAGAACUCUCUAGAACUCUCUAGAACUCUCUAGAGCUCAAUCAUCCACAAUCUUGGGCUAGGAAGCCAAUAUAAGGCCAAGAGUCCUAGCUUGACCCAAUUCCGGAAUAUUCUAGACUACUCUAGCACAAUUGAGCAACUCUAGAUUCCGGAACAUUCUAGGGAACUCUAGCACAUUUGAACUUGGAAAUAUUCUAG
rnacentral:lncRNA from 1 species